rnacentral:rRNA from 1 species
GGGGGGGGGUGGGGGGGGGGGGGGGGGGUGCGGGGCGGGCGGGCGGGCCCUGCUUGGGGGGGGUGCUCGGGUGGCGGACGGGGGCGUCCCCCGUGAGUAACCUGCCCUUGACUUUGGUCUCACUUCAGGAAGCUGGGGCUAAUGCCGGAUGGGAGCUCCUGCUUCCUGGUGGGGGUUGGACAGUUUCGGCGGUUGGGGAUGGACUCGCGGCUUAUCAGCUUGUUGGUGGGGUAGUGGCUUAACAAGGCUUUGACGGGUAGCCGGCCUGAGAGGGGGACCGGCCACAUUGGGACUGAGAUAAGGCCCAGACUCCUACGGGAGGCAGCAGUGGGGAAUAUUGCACAAUGGGCGGAAGCCUGAUGCAGCAACGCCGCGGGCGGGAUGACGGCCUUCGGGUUGUAAACCGCUGUCGCCUGUGACGAAGCGUGAGUGGCGGUAAUGGGUAAAGAAGCACCGGCUAACUACGUG